ACCCACGUGGUGGAAUUGGUAGACACGCAAGCUUGAGGGGCUUGUGCCCAUUAGGGCGUGCUGGUUCGAGUCCAGUCGUGGGUA
rnacentral:tRNA from 1 species